rnacentral:SRP_RNA from 1 species
GCCCCCUCGCAUAUGGAAACCGUGAAUCUGGUCAGGUCGGGAACGAAGCAGCCAUAGCGGAGGAAGUAGUGCCGAGGUGUGGUUCGCUU